rnacentral:tRNA from 1 species
ACAUUGGUGGUUCAGUAGUAGAAUUCCUGCCUUCCAUGCAGAACACCCAAGUUUGAUUCCCAGCUAAUGCA